GGGGAUGUGGCCGUAGCUCAGUGGCAGAGCAUCUGCCUGGCAUUCAGAUGGUCCCAGGUUCAAUCCCUGGCAUCUCUA